rnacentral:rRNA from 1 species
AGAGUUUGAUCAUGGCUCAGGACGAACGCCGGCGGCGUGCCUAAAACAUGCAAGUCGAACGGGCAAAGGGGCUUCGGCCCUUUUGUUAGUGGCGAACGGCGGAGUAAUACAUAAGCAACCUGCCCCGAAGACCGGGAUAACUCUGCGAAAGCGGGACUAAUACCGGAUGUGUCCUCUGAGGGCAUCCUCGGGGGUCUAAAGCAGGCAACUGACUUCGGGAGGGGCUUGUGGCCUAUCAGCUUGUUGGUGGGGUAAUGGCCUACCAAGGCUACGACGGGUAGCUGGUCUGAGAGGACGAUCAGCCCGACUGGGACUGAGACACGGCCCAGACUCCUACGGGAGGCAGCAGUUUGGAAUCUUGCACAAUGGGCGAAAGCCUGAUGCAGCGACGCCGUAUGGAGGAUGACGUCUCUCGGGAUGUAAACUCCUUUUGUUGGGAAAGAACUAAGACGGUACCCAAAGAAUAAGCCCCGGCUAACUACGUGCCAGCAGCCGCGGUAAGACGUGGGGGGCGAGCGUUGUCCGGAAUUACUGGGCGUAAAGAGCGCGUAGGCGGCUGGUUAAGUCAGAUGUGAAAUCUCCAGGGCUCAACCCGGAAACCGCAUUUGAUACUGGCCAGCUAGAGAGAUGAAGGGGCAGAUGGAAUUCCUGGUGUAGCGGUGAAAUGCAUUGAUAUCAGGAGGAACACCCGUGGCGAAGGCGGUCUGCUGGGCAUCUUCUGACGCUGAGGCGCGAAAGCAGGGGGAGCAAACGGGAUUAGAUACCCCGGUAGUCCCUGCCCUAAACGAUGGAUGCUAGGUGUGAGCGGUAUCAAUCCCGUUCGUGCCGUCGCUAACGCAUUAAGCAUCCCGCCUGGGGAGUACGGCCGCAAGGUUGAAACUCAAAUGAAUUGACGGGGACCCGCACAAGCGGUGGAGCAUGUGGUUUAAUUCGAUACUAACCGAAGAACCUUACCCAGGCUUGACAUCGAUGGUAAGCCUCAGAAAUGGGGCCCCCUACUCACAAGGUAGGCCUGAAGACACCUGUUGCAUGGCUGUCGUCAGCUCGUGCCGUGAGGUGUUUGGUUAAGUCCAGCAACGAGCGCAACCCGCAUCCUAUGUUGCCAGCGGGUCAUGCCGGGCACUCAUAGGAAACUGCCGGGGCAACCCGGAGGAAGGUGCGGAUGAUGUCAAGUCAGCAUGGCGGUUACGCCUGGGGCUACACACAUGCUACAAUGGGCGAAACAGAGGGCUGCAAUGCCGCGAGGCGGAGCC